rnacentral:rRNA from 1 species
AAAGCUCAAAUUUAAAAUCUGGCAGUUCUUUUUUGUGGCUGUCCGAGUUGUAAUCUAGAGAAGUGCUAUCCGCGCUGGACCGUGUACAAGUCUCCUGGAAUGGAGCGUCAUAGAGGGUGAGAAUCCCGUCUUUGACACGGACUACCAGGGCUUUUGUGAUGUGCUCUCGAAGAGUCGAGUUGUUUGGGAAUGCAGCUCAAAAUGGGUGGUAAAUUCCAUCUAAAGCUAAAUAUUGGCGAGAGACCGAUAGCGAA